CUUCAGCGAGCCGAGCCACAGGGGCCGUUCGCCGUCCCGGUCGCGCCCGUACGUGGCGACCACUGCCUGCGCCUC
rnacentral:antisense_RNA from 1 species